CCUUGUUGUGGUCAGUGAGAGACAUGAGAAUGGAAGAAUGUCAGAGAGAUGCAACGUUGCUGGUUUUGAAGAUGCAGGAAGCUGGUUAUUCCCAGUUUAGGGAAUGUGGGAGGCCUCUAGAAACUGGAAAAGGCAAGAACAUGGGUUCUCCCUAGAGCCUUCAGACAGAAACACAGUUCUAAGAACACUCUGAUUUUAACCCAGUGAGACCAGUGCCAGACUUCUAAACUACAGAACUGUAAGAAGUUGCUAAGUUUGUGGUAAUCUGUUACAACAGCAAUAGAAAACUAAUAGAACGUGGGAUGAGAUACAAUGAGGACACAGCCUUGUGUUAUUUGCUGGCCAUCACAAACUCUCUUUGUUGUUUCUACUCCUAGGUAAAAGGUCAUUAAUUAGGAGAAGAUUUAUCUCAAGGAAACGUAUGAUCUGUGGGUAGUGUGGUCAAAGAUGACUUCUGCAGAUAAAAACAUCAUCUUGUAUGCAAGUUGAACUGCAAAGACUACCUUACUGUUCACUCCCAGAAUGGCAAAAAGAUAGAUGAAGAUGGAGAAAUGUGCACCUAACACUGCAUCUUUAUGAGCAAAGGAUUUUCUUUGGAAAAACUGUGAUUAUAUGAAAAUCAUAGGACAUUUUAUUUGUGACUACAGGGCGUGGUGAAAACCUCUGCUACCAUACUGGAUACAAGGUCUUUAACUUCUCAGCACCAGUUUUAUGGAGCCCCCACCGCUAAGCAAGUAUGCAAAAUGCAGUGCUGCUUCGCAUUGGGAAAUCCCCAAUCUGGUGCCAAGAGGUUCAUAAAUACAGUAAUGGACCCUCUUAUGUCAAAAGUGAGUACUGUUUAACAGCGUAAGUUGGAACAGCCUUCAGGAUGCUUUGCAGCUGCAGUUGUUCCACUGCAAGACAUCACAAACUUCAUGAUGAUGGUUGUCACACCAGGUCCUGGAAAGGCAACCUACUUCAGUCUGCAAAGUGAACUAAAAGGGAAUGGUUGUUCAUACAUGGCCCUGAUGCCACUGACAUAAGAAACGCAAUGACAAGAGCGAUGAAGUAGGAAUUUGGUGGCAGAUGGUCAGGUCUGCAGGAAGUGUCCACCCAGCUUUGUUUGGCCCAUAUUCUGAAACAACUAGAAUAAACACUUAGUGUCAUAAUUUAUAAGCAUAUCAGUACCAAUAAAUCAGAAUCAUGCAAACAGUCAUGUUUAUUAUAUUCUUGUUGCUUAAUAUUCAUGACAGUAAUUUAUUUUUAUAGUACAGUUUUACUGUUCUCUCCACCAUUGCUCUCUGCAUUUAAGGCUGGCAAGUUGUACUAGCAGAAGUUCAGGUAACCCUUUGAAGACUGCAAAAUUCAUUAGCCUGGUCAAAAGACUUGAUUUGCUCAUUUAAUUUUUCCCUUUUUCUCUCAUAAACUUUUAAGCCACUGAGAUGAAAUUUCUGGAAACUAAGUAGUAAUAAUACUUCUUCGACAUGUAGAAAAUGUGAAUACU
rnacentral:lncRNA from 1 species